ACGCUCGACACCUACGGGAGGCAGCAGUGGGGGAUAUUGCGCAAUGGGGGAAACCCUGACGCAGCAACGCCGCGUGAAGGACGAAGGUUUUCGGAUUGUAAACUUCUUUUGUUAGGGACGAAGAAAUGACGGUACCUGACGAAUAAGCUCCGGCUAACUACGUGCCAGCAGCCGAGGUAAUCUGAGCGGGCUGGCAAGGC
rnacentral:rRNA from 1 species